rnacentral:rRNA from 1 species
GAUGAACGCUGGCGGCGUGCCUAACACAUGCAAGUCGAACGUGAGGGUAUACUUGUAUACCUGAAAGUGGCGAACGGGUGAGUAAAACGUGGGUGACCUGCCUCGCAGUGGGGGAUAACCAUUGGAAACGGUGGCUAAUACCGCAUGGGUCUAGACAAGUGGGAACUUGAGUAGAUAAAGCUUAAUGUGCUGCGAGAGGGGCCUGCGUCCGAUUAGCUAGUUGGUGGGGUAACGGCCUACCAAGGCAGUGAUCGGUAGCUGGUCUGAGAGGAUGAUCAGCCACACGGGAACUGAGAGACGGUCCCGACUCCUACGGGGGGCAGCAGUGAGGAAUAUUGGACAAUGGGGGAAACCCUGAUCCAGCAACGCCGCGUGGAGGAUGAAGGUCUUUGGAUUGUAAACUCCUUUUCUUGGGGAAGAGCAAGGACGGUACCCGAGGAAUAAGUCAUGGCUAACUACGUGCCAGCAGCCGCGGUAAUACGUAGGUGGCGAGCGUUAUCCGGAAUUACUGGGCGUAAAGCGCACGCAGGCGGUUCGGCAAGUCUGACGUGAAAGCUCCUGGCUUAACUGGGAGAGGUCGUUGGAAACUGCUGGGCUUGAGGCAAUGAGAGGGGUGUAGAAUUCCCGGUGUAGUGGUGGAAUGCGUAGAUAUCGGGAGGAAUACCAGUGGCGAAAGCGGCACCCUGGCAUUGGCCUGACGCUCAUGUGCGAAAGCGUGGGGAGCGAACGGGAUUAGAUACCCCGGUAGUCCACGCCGUAAACGAUGAGCACUAGGUGUGGGUGGUGUGAAAACUAUCUGUGCCGAAGUCAACGCGCUAAGUGCUCCGCCUGGGGAGUACGGCCGCAAGGCUA